AUUGAACGCUGGCGGCAUGAUUUACACAUGCAAGUCGAACGGUAACAGGCCGCGAGGUGCUGACGACUGGCGGACGGGUGUGUAAUGCAUCGGAACGGGCCCACUCGUGGGGGAUAACUACUCUAAAGGGUGGCUAAUACCGCAUACGACCUAUGGAUGAACGUGGGAGACCGUAAGGCCUCGCGCGAUUGGAGCGGCCGAUGUCAGUUUAGGUAGUUGGUGGGGUCAAGGCACCCCAAGCCAACGAUCGGUAGCUGGUCUGAGAGGACGACCAGCCACACUGUGACUGAGGCACGGCCCAGACACUUGCGGGAGGCAGCGGUGGGAAAUUUUGGAGGAUGGGCGCAAGCCUGAUCCAGCAAUGCCGCGUGAAGGAAGAAGGCGUUCGGGUUGUAAACUGCUUUUGUACGGAACGAAACGGCUCUGGUUAAUACCCGGGGAUAAUGACGGUACCGUAAGAAUAAGCACCGGCUAACUACGUG
rnacentral:rRNA from 1 species